GGGGUUCCCUCGUAGUGUGUAGACGUGUGUGUGUUGCGCUCGCUUGCUCUCUUUCCGUCCCUCCUUCUGCCUGGACGUGUGUGUGUUUGCAGCUGAUCGGAUGUCUUUCAAGGCGGGAAACAGCUGGGGGUGAAGCAUGCGGAUCAGCUGACAUGCUGGCAGGGAUUUACAACAACACCACCAACCAGAGGAGGAGGAGAGAAGAAAGAGGGCUGUUACUCAUACUGAAUGUGUGCACACCAUUUUGGGUGCAUGAAAGUUGUAGUUGUUGGAGGAGGAGGAACAGGAGUUACCUAAUCGCUCCCUGCUCGAAGCAGAAAUCACACACAGACACAAAAUGGGAGCGGUCAUGAAGAAGCCGGAAAUGUGUGUUUUACUGUGACUCAACGGCAUGCUGUGGGCAAGAGCGUGGACGACCGAGGACAUCUACGAUUUACGAACUGGAACUGAUGGAUAGACACUUGCAUUACUGUUGCAUUUAAAUAUUUUAUUUGUAACUGUCCAUAUCAUAAAAUGCAGAAGUGUAAAUGUUUUUUGGACCAAUCUAUCAAAUCUGCUCUAUUUAUUUAUUGUUUAAAAUGGAUGACUAGAAUUAUAUUCUUUGUAUUUCAUUUGUAUUUUAUUUUUUUUAACAUAGAAAUAAAGUUUUUUUUAUUAUCUAUAUCAACAAUCAAAAAUAAGGUGCCCUCAGUCAUUUUUGGUUCAUGCCAUCUUGGCAUUGAUGCAGCAUCAUUCAAAGGAAAUCACUUUUAGUUCCCAAUGCCAUUGUAGAAAUUCACUAUUCACAGUCAUUCAUGAUUAACUUAAUCAAUGAGUGAAAGUGUCCAAUAACAGGGUUGUUACUGAGAUUAAGGGAGUGGUAUUCGGCUGGUCAUGUGAUCAUAACAUGGCAGCCCCCAUGAGGAGACCCUCUCUUUGUAGAAUAAAACAGCUUCUAUAAAGUUACUGAUAUGACUGGAGUCUUUGACUCAUGUUGGUGGGCAUUGUUUUAUACAUAUUUUUUCAAGAUCAC